ensembl:misc_RNA Vault Vault RNA
GGAUUGGCUUUAGCUCAAGUGGUUACUUCCUUACUUUCCAUCUGUCUAAUCCCUGUGCUUGGGUUCAAGACCUGCCAGGGCUUUCUGACCUUUAA